GAUGAACGCUGGCGGCGUGCCUAAUACAUGCAAGUCGAGCGAACGGACUAGAAGCUUGCUUCUCUGUUGUUAGCGGCGGACGGGUGAGUAACACGUGGAUAACCUACCUAUAAGACUGGGAUAACUUCGGGAAACCGGAGCUAAAACCGGAUGAUAUUUUGAACCGCAUGGUUCAAAAGUGAAAGACGGUCUUGCUGUCACUUAUCGAUGGAUCCCCGCUGCAUUGGCUAGUUGGUAAGUGAACGGCUUACCAAGGCAACGGGGCAUAGCCGCUGUGAGAGGGGGAUAGGCCCCACUGCAAGUGACACAACCUCCAGACCACUACGGGAGGGAGCAGUAGGGAACCUUCAGUCAUGGGCGCAAACCUGCCGGAGCAACGCCGAGUGAGUGAUGAAGGUCCUCGCCUCGUAACACUCUCUUAUUAGGGAAGACCAUAUGUGUAAGUACCUGUGCACAUCUUGACGGUACCUAAUCAGAAAGCCACGGCUAACUACGUG
rnacentral:rRNA from 1 species